GCUCCUGGAACUGCCAUAGUGCCUCUACUGGCUCCCAGCUAGCCUCGCUUUCUAGUAGUCCCUUCCAUUUUACUAAGUAUUCCGUAGCAAGAGGUACCCCUCGUCUCCUGAUGACCCGAUCUGCGAGGACGUGUUCUACCUCCUUAUCAUAGGAGGUCACGACCGCUGUAGGUGCCCUCUUAGACAACCCUCGGCUUGGAUCAUCCUUGUCUCCGUGAUAGGGCUUCAAGUAGCUUGCGUGGAAGACAGGAUGAAUCUUCAACCUCGGGGGCAGCUCGACUCUAUAGGACACCUUGUCGACCUUCCCAAGUAUGGGGAAGGGUCCUUCAUACCUCCUCACAAGGCCCUUAUGCACCGGCCUUAGGGACUUGAAUUGUUGAG
rnacentral:lncRNA from 1 species